rnacentral:rRNA from 1 species
GUCUACGGCCAUCCCACUCUGAAUGUGCCCAGUCUCGUCUGAUCUCGGAACCUAAGUAGGGUUGGGUCUCAUUAGUACUUGGAUGGGAGAUCUAUAUUUAUUUUAUUAGAAAUUUAAACC